AUAGCACAUAAGUUAUUGAUGUAUUUGCGUUGAAAUAUUUCACUAAGGCAUAGCCAAAGCAAUUACAAACAUUGCAAUAUGAAAAGAAAAUGGUUUGCAAUUGAACAAAUUCAUCUGCGGCAAGCCAGAUGAGUGCGUUUCUCUCAGUAGUGAAUUGCCGUCUUUUAACUUACUGUUAGUUAGGCAACUUACAUGAAAAAAUACAUGGAUUGGUUUUAGAAUUAGGCAAUAUUUAUAAUUCUAAAGUGCUCAUAUUUAGCUUAUAAAAAAUUUAAAAGUUCUGAAUUUCUGCAUUCAGGGUAACAUUAUAUAUAUAAAUUGAGAAUUCCCAUUAAAUCUAAGCGCAUGCGCGAAGCAUAUGCAAUUAGAACUUUAACUGUAAAUUAUAGAACGUCAAAUGCAUCUUUUAUUUUAUUUCAUUCACAGUUACCAUCUAAUUUAAGCUGAAACAAAAAACACAUCGAAAUGAUCUUUACAUAACAGUUCUGUUAUAUAAAAAAUUCUAAUCGGCUUUUUAUCGUUGGCAAAACUUAAACUGGAAGUUUGGCGUUUUUAUUCCAUAUUAAAAGCACACACAUUCCUUCGGAUAUUACUGCAAUAAACUGUUACAUAAUUCAAAAGAAAAUUCUUAAGUGUUUUGAACAUUUUUGUUGUACCUUUAAUAAAAAAGUAAUUUUUUUAGUUUUAUUAUUCGCCUAGCAAAAUAUGGGAAAUCUUGAAAUAUUUUUCAAAAGUAUGGGCGUGACAGUUUUGGGCGUUCGAGUGGGCGUGGGCAUAAACUUUUUGUUAAAUCGAUACACAUUUAUAAGACAUUAAAGUGGAAGUGGCAACAACAGUUUUUAAAUUUACUCUGCUUUUGUCCUGAAAUUUGCAAGCCUAAUCUAAACUUUAUAGCUUUUAUAAUUCCUGAGAUCUCGACGUUCAUACGGACGGACAGACAGACAGGUUCAGCUCGACUCGGCUAUUGAUCCUGAUCAAGAAUAUAUAAACUUUAUACGGUCGGAAACGCUUCCUUCCCUGAUAAAGAACCUAUAAGUUACGAUAGCUGCCCAUAGGCCGGCACUUAAUCUCGUUACGAGUCGGUAUUGCCGCCGAGUAGGCAACUCCAGUUCGUCGCUUGCGCAACGUCCGGCUGUCGUGUCAUUUGCAGGCGUACCAGUUCGUGCACGCGCGAUCAGGGACCCCGAACGGGGUUGACGUUCGCCGACGGUGUGCGAUCGACAAGCCAUGGACGGGAUAUGAAGUUUGUGGUCAAUAGUCAAGAUCUAGUAUGCAGAUUCUAGUAGCUACUACUAGCUAGCACAUUCGCACAGACUAGUCCUGACAUACGUGAGGAUACUGGCAAAAGCGUAUCCACCAUGAAAUAUUAUAAGUGUCCCACAUAUCGCGGUCGACCACUCAUCACGUUUUAUUAUUUUAUUAAUAUCAUUAUUUUAACAUUUUUAACUCCAACUAAACAUAGUGACUUCAGCCAGAUUCUUUACAGAUCGAGCCGGACAAUAUCACAAAAUCGCAUAGAGAUCGAAUCCUGAAAAGGACAAGAGUAUUUCGUGUGUGUUAGAGUGGGCGUGGCAACACUCGGAAAUAAACUUGCGCUGCGUCAAUGUCUCUAGCUGCCUGCUUUAUGCCUGCUUUAACAUUAUAGCUUUUAAAGUUCCUGAGAUAAAGACGUUCAUACUGACAGACGGACAUGACCAGAUCAACUCGGAUAUUGAUACUGAUAAUAAAUAUAUAUUCUUAAUAGGGUCGGAAACGCCUCCUUCUAAUUGGUACAUACUUUUUAAAGAUCUUUGCUCUGCAGCAGUCGGGGUGAGUGGUGUUGCUUUAGUUGGUCCGACCUUUAGUUCUGCAAAAUAAUGGCGGAUGCCAUAAAUAUUAUAUCGCAAUUAAAUCAUUUUUAAACUCUUGUGUUCCGGUGUACUUUCCGUCUGUCUCUAACUACCCUCCUUGGUUUAAUAAUGAGUUGACACACCUAUGAAAUGUAAACUUUCGGGUCCAUUAGCCGCCAGCAGCACCAAUUAUGACCAACAUUGGAGACACAAUUAGUCUGCGGCACCUCAGCUUUGUUUACGUAUGGAGAUCAGCUGCCAAAAAGAUGACUCGUGCCAACACUUCUUGAUCACCGGACAUACGACGACCACACAACUUUGCCUUACUCCGGACACGACAACUUUCGGCUUCACGAUCUUUUUACUGCACAACUUUCAACUCGCUUUGUUCUUCUUCGACUCACUCUAUGCUUGUCCUUACUUGACGCUAGCCUUUGCGAUGAUUAUCGAUCAUCGCAUAUCGAUAACUAUCUUAACAUAUAUAUAUAUUUUAUAUUUUUAUAUUUAUAUUUCCAAAACCAGCUAAUAAAAAAGCUUAUUAGCUCAACAUUUUGGUGACCCCGA